AGCCAGCUGUAGUCCGUUGGACCCCUCGGCCUCUCCCGGGUCAGGCCUGGUUCUACACACCAAUUUCCCCGGACACAACCAACGCAGAGAGUCCUUCCUGUACCGCUCAGACAGCGACUACGACCUCUCGCCCAAGUCCAUGUCCCGCAACUCAUCCAUUGCAUCUGAACUACACGGUGAUGACUUGAUAGUAACGCCAUUUGCUCAGGUCCUCGCAAGCCUUCGAAGUGUAAGAAACAACUUCACAGUCCUGACCAAUGUCCAAUGUGCUUCCAACAAGAGGUCCCCUGUGGCCACUCAGCCUCCCAUCACCAGAGUCUGCUUGCCAG